rnacentral:lncRNA from 1 species
CAGAGGUUAGAGGGCAAAAUGAACACAGAGAGCUCAAAGAAGAGGCUGCUGGUGCUAAUGGAAAGGACAAAACUCGUCCAGCAGAACAAUGUGUGAAUUUUGUCCAAUUUGAGUCAGAAAAUGACCUUCGUGAAACUGCUUUGGCUCCACUGUCACUUAGCGAGGCUUUAGCGAUCAGACGGCCUGAUUUCAUCCAGCGCUCGCAGGCCAGAGUUCGAGCCCUGGAGAGGAGGUCGCAGGAGAGGCAGAGCUCCCACAGCUCACCGCAGACACCUGAGAGCGGAGAAAGCCUUGUGAAAUCCAGAAGCAUCAUGGGAAAGAGUCUACAGCUGUGGUCCAGGAGGAGUUAUAACCAGCUCCCUGAAGUGAAGAAGAGGAGAGAGGAAGAAAAGAGGAAAAAAGAAGAAGAGAAAAGAAAACGGACCAACAGGCUGCGGGCAGAGCUCUUUAAAAAGAAACUUCUGGAGAAGAUUUUGCAGAGAGGAGGAAAUCACUGACACUGCCUUGGACCCGUGUUUCUUCUCACUCCGCAGUUCUCAUGCCGUCCCGUGAAAAAUAUGACAUGACAUUAGUUAGAAAUAUUAUGGAAUAGUUCCUAUCAGAAUGAAUGUGCCUUAAACAUGGACUGCAGCCUUAUUUCUGUGGCUCUGGAUUACAUCUUCUCUCUCUAUACAUACACUACUGGUCAAAUGUUUGGAAUAAUUAAGGUUUUUUAAUAUUAAGUCUCUUAUGUUCCGCUAGGCUGCAUUUAUUUGCUCAAAAAUACAGUAAAAAAUGUGAAACAUUAUUACAAUUUAAAAUACCCAUUUUCUCUUUGAAUAUAUUUUUGCAUGUAAUUUAUUGCAUGUAAUCAAAGCUGAAUUUUCAGCAUCAUUCCUCCAGUCUUCAGUGUCACACAAUCCUCCAGAAAUCAUUCUAAUAUGCUGAUUUGCUGCUCAAGAAACAUUUCUGAUUAUUACCAACGUUGAUACAGUUGUGCUGCUUCAUAUUUUUGUGGAAACUUUGCAUUUUCAGUGUUGCCAAUUCUCCAAACAGUAUCUCAUGACACUGAUAAACACAGGACUUCAGGAUAGUCUUUUGGCUUGUUAGAGUUGCUUCAGUUGCCGUAUAGACAGAUUGUUCGCCCUUUCUGUGCCUCUAUCCCUGUCAUAUUACAUUAUGUAAGAGGCACGACAUAAAAGAGCACAUUAUGGCUCCGGUCCUCAUCGGUAAAAGCCUAAAAUCCAACAUUUGAAGAUAUCCUUAUAACAUGAAGGGCCUGAUCCCGCUCUCAGCCAUGCAGUCGUAGGUUCUGUGGGCUCAUUAUGACAUCAGUAGCCUUUCUCUGUCCAGGUCUCUCCGAGGAAUUUGACCUCGUAGGAAUGCAUCACUAACGGAGCUGAGCGCUUGCACGGGGUGAAAGAGGCUUUUGUCCUCUCUCCAAACGAGCCGAGACUGUCCCACAUGCGCCUGCUUAGACAGGACAUGACUGUGCAAUAGUCGACGAGUUAUAAACCGAAGUCUUGCAGUAAAACUUGAUUCAAAAGACCUUAUAUUAUGUCCUUUUAUUGUGUUUGGUAUAUUAGCUACUUUACAUUUUUAAAUCAAAAUAAUGGGCCAGAAGAUGAAGAGUGGAGUCUCAUAACGUAGCUUUGUGAAUAUAAGAUUAUGCAUUUUAGGCCAGACUUUAACACUGAACCCCGAAUAGAAAUGUAGGUGCAAAAAUGCUCAGCCAACUACUACAAAUGAUCAAAAUCCCUGUAUGACCAAUCAUUUCACUCAGCAUAACGCGCCUCUAGAGCAGCUAUUUCAGUCAUGCAAGUAACAGCUUUUAUUUCUUUGAAUGGGGAAAUUACAUUUCAUAUUUGACAUCACCAAUGAAAUCUGACAGCAACUGUCUCAUACAUUUUGAUUCUUUGUAUAUCUGAAACAGGGGUGUCAGACUCAAUUCCUGGAGCGCCGGAGCCCUGCAGCUUUUUGUUCCAACACACAUACCAUGUAGUUUUCAAAUAAGCCUGAAGGACUUGAUUAGUUGGAUCAGGUGUGUUUAAUUAGGGUUGAAACUAAACUCUACAGGGCUUCGGCCCUCCACGAACUGAGUUUGACACCCCUGAUCUAAAGCAUUUGCUAAAGUCUUUGGUUCAAUACAGAUGUCUGCUCUUAUAUUUGCAUUUACAGGUUACUCAGGGC